UACAUAGGGUGCGAGCGUUGUCCGGAAUCACUGGGCGUAAAGGGCGCGUAGGCGGCCCGGCAAGUCGAUGGUGAAAGCUCGCGGCUCAACUGCGAGUCGGCCACUGAUACUGCUGGGCUAGAGCACUGUAGAGGCAGAUGGAAUUCCGGGUGUAGCGGUGGAAUGCGUAGAGAUCCGGAAGAACACCGGUGGCGAAGGCGGUCUGCUGGGCAGUUGCUGACGCUGAGGCGCGACAGCGUGGGGAGCAAACAGG
rnacentral:rRNA from 1 species